rnacentral:rRNA from 1 species
GACGAACGCUGGCGGCGUGCUUAACACAUGCAAGUCGAACGGUGAAGCGCCUUCCUUUUUGGUGGGUGUGGAUGAGUGGCGAACGGGUGAGUAACACGUGAGUAACCUGCCCCCUUCUUCUGGAUAACCGCAUGAAAGUGUGGCUAAUACGGGAUAUUCUGGGUCUGUCGCAUGAUGGGUCUGGGAAAGAUAUUGUUUCGGUGGGGGAUGGGCUCGCGGCCUAUCAGCUUGUUGGUGGGGUGAUGGCCUACCAAGGCGGUGACGGGUAGCCGGCCUGAGAGGGUGGACGGUCACACUGGGACUGAGACACGGCCCAGACUCCUGCGGGAGGCAGCAGUGGAGAAUAUUGCACGAUGGGCGCAAGCCUGAUGCAGCGACGCCGCGUGAGGGAUGGAGGCCUUCGGGUUGUGAACCUCUUUCGCCAGUGAAGCAUGCCUGCCUCGUUUGUGGGUGGGUUGACGGUAGCUGGAUAAGAAGCGCCGGCUAACUACGUG